rnacentral:rRNA from 1 species
AGCCCGUUGCUGCAUGAGUCUAGUCACCUGGUAUCGUGAAAUGGUGGGUUAAGUCCCGCAACGAGCGCAACCCUUAUCUUUUGUUGCCAGCGGUCCGGCCGGGAACUCAAAGGAGACUGCCAGUGAUAAAGUGGAGGAAGGUGGGGAUGACGUCAAGUCAUCAUGGCCCUUACGAGUAGGGCUACACACGUGCUACAAUGGCGCAUACAAAGAGAAGCGACCUCGCGAGAGCAAGCGGACCUCAUAAAGUGCGUCGUAGUCCGGAUUGGAGUCUGCAACUCGACUCCAUGAAGUCGGAAUCGCUAGUAAUCGUAGAUCAGAAUGCUACGGUGAAUACGUUCCCGGGCCUUGUACACACCGCCCGUCACACCAUGGGAGUGGGUUGCAAAAGAAGUAGGUAGCUUAACCUUCGGGAGGGCGCUUACCACUUGGAUCAGCGA